GAACGCUGGCGGCGUGCCUAACAUGCAAGUCGAACGAGGUCCACCCGGUGGCAACACCGGCGACGACCUAGUGGCGAACGGGUGAGUAACACGUGAGGAACCUGCCCCGAAGACCGGGAUAACCCUCCGAAAGGAGAGCUAAUACCGGAUGUCCCCUGGAGGUCGCAUGGCCACCAGAGGAAAUGCUUUUGUGCUUCGGGAGGGCCUCGCGGCUUGUUGGUGGGGUAACGGCCCACCAAGGCAUCGACGGGUAGCUGGUCUGAGAGGACGAUCUAUCAGCCAGCCACACUGGGACUGAGACACGGCCCAGACUCCUACGGGAGGCAGCAGUUAGGAAUCUUGCGCAAUGGGCGAAAGCCUGACGCAGCAACGCCGCGUGGGGGAUGAAGGCCCUCGGGUCGUAAACCCCUUUCAGUGGGGACGAAACUGACGGUACCCACCCAAAGCCGCGGUAACACGAGAAUCCCGGUAGAAGGGGCUACGUGCCAGCGACAAGCGUUGUCCGGAUUUAUUGGGCGUAAGGCGGUUCGGCAAGUCGGGUGUGAAACCUAGGGCUCGUACCAGGCUCAACCUGGAGUCGCCACCCGAAACUGCUGUGACUUGAGUCCGGUAGGGGAGCACGGAAUUCCUGGUGUAGCGGUGGAAUGCGCAGAUAUCAGGAGGAACACCAGUGGCGAAGGCGGUGCUCUGGGCCGGUACUGACGCUGAGGAGCGAAAGCAUGGGGAGCGAACAGGAUUAGAUACCCUGGUAGUCCAUGCCGUAAACGUUGGGCACACCCUCUCAACGGGUUCCGCGCCGUAGCUUAGGUGUGGGAUUAAGUGCCCCGCCUGGGGAAACGCGUACGGCCGCAAGGCUAAAACUGCCCGCACAAGCAGCGGAGCAUGUUGCUUAACAAAGGCGGGGAAUUGAUUCGAGGCAACGCGAAGAACCUUACCUGGGUUUGACAUGUACGGAAAAGCCGCAGAGAUGCGGUGUCCUUUUGGGCCGUACACAGGUGGUGCAUGGUUGUCGUCAGCUCGUGUCGUGAGAUGUUGGGUUAAGUCCCGCAACGAGCGCAACCCUUGUCCUAUGUUGCCAUGCCGGGGACUCGUAGGAGACUGCCGGGGACAACGCGGGUAGUCGGAGGAAGGUGGGGAUGACGUCAAAUCAUCAUGCCCCUUAUGUCCAGGGCUGCAAACAUGCUACAAUGGCCGGUACAAAGGGCUGCUACACCGCGAGGUUGAGCGAAUCCCACAAAGCCGGUCUCAGUUCGGAUCGGAGUCUGCAACUCGACUCCGUGAAGCUGGAGUUGCUAGUAAUCCCGGAUCAGCAACGCCGGGGUGAAUACGUUCCCGGGCCUUGUACACACCGCCCGUCACACCACGAAAGUCGGCAACGCCCGAAGCCAGUGGCCCAACCCGCAAGGGAGGGAGCUGUCGAAGGUGCGAUUGGGGUGAAGUCGUAACAAGGUAGCCGUACCGGAGGGGUUGAGGU
rnacentral:rRNA from 1 species